AAAUAAAAUAUUCAAAUAAAAAGAAAAAUACCGCAUAAUGUUAGUCAUAAAAAGAUAGGGUAAGUCCCUACAAUAAAAACAUCAGUAAUGUGCAAUAUAAAGUACAGCUGAGCUAGGUGAACAUGGCUUAAUUUGUGAGGUAUACAAAAUGUUU
rnacentral:misc_RNA from 1 species